UAUAAAAUAAUUAAUUCUAUGUAUAACAUUAUGGUAAGUUUACAUAGUUCUAUUGAUAGUACUGAGAUCCUUCAAGACACAUAUUGAAGAAACAAUGGGUGUCUACAUUCUGCUUAACUAAGGGUUUUUUUUUUUAACCAGGGAUUCAAACUGAGAAGAAAUGCUGCAAUGGGAAAUAGAAGGAAUUAUAAUCUGGUAGAAGAGGAAAAGAAUGAGAGGUAUACUACUGGCUGAGAGUAGGAACCUUGAGAAAGUGGUGAUGGCAGGGGCAGAUAAUAGAAAGGUUAAAGAGGUUGUAGGCAGUCUAUAGAAUGUUCUCAAGUGACUUCCAACUGAUAUUGACACACUUGUAUAACCUCUUCCCCUUGAAGGUGGGCUUAUUUAUUGACUCACUUCUAACAGAUAGACUACAAUAAAGUAAAUGGACAUCAUUUCCAAGAUUAGGUUAUGGAAAGACUGUGGCUUUCAUUUAACGGCCCUCUCUCUCUCCUCUUGGACUUAGGGAAUCCAGUUGCAUGCUGUAAUUAGGCCUAUGAACAGACCUACGUGAUACCAAAAUGAUGUAUCUGGACAGUAGUCAGUGAGAACCUGCUAACAACCACAUGACUGAGCUUCGAAGCAGAUCCUUCCUGAUAUAGUUUGGAUAUUUGUCCCUGCUCAAAUCUCAUGUAGAAUUGUAAUCCCCAAUUUUGGAGGUGGGAUCUGAUGGGAGGUGAUUGG